AACGCGAAGAACCUUACCCAGGCUUGACAUGCAGUGGAAGUUAGUAGAGAUAUUAACGCCCUUCGGGGCCGCUGCACAGGUGCUGCAUGGCUGUCGUCAGCUCGUGCCGUGAGGUGUUGGGUUAAGUCCCGCAACGAGCGCAACCCUUAUCGUUAGUUGCCAACAGGUAAUGCUGGGAACUCUAGCGAGACUGCCUGGGUUAACCAGGAGGAAGGUGAGGAUGACGUCAAGUCCGCAUGGCCCUUAUGUCUGGGGCUACACACGUGCUACAAUGGUCGGUACAGAAGGCAGCGAAACCGUGAGGUGAAGCAAAUCCCCCAAAGCCGGCCCCAGUUCAGAUUGUAGUCUGCAACUCGACUACAUGAAGUUGGAAUUGCUAGUAAUGGCGAGUCAGCAACAUCGCCGUGAAUACGUUCCCGGGCCUUGUACACACCGCUCGCGA
rnacentral:rRNA from 1 species